rnacentral:ncRNA from 1 species
AAGCGGGGGGGCGGCGGGAUAAGACGCCGUGCCCCCGGGGCCACCGCACCCGUGAACAUUACGUGGUUUUGCCACAAGUAGUGUGCACCUGGCGAAAGCAUUUGGCCAAGAAUGUUUUUUGUUUAUCAAGAACCAAAAUCAGCGGUUGGAGGGCCAUCAGAUACCGUCCUAGUUCUGACUAUACACGAUGCCAACUAGCGAUCGGGGGGCGUUACAUUGACGACCCCUCCGGCAGCUUACGGGAAACCAAAGUCUUUGGGUUCCGGGGGAAGUAUGGUUGCAAAGCUGAAACUUAAAGGAAUUGACGGAAGGGCACCACCAGGAGUGGAGCCUGCGGCUUAAUUUGACUCAACACGGGAAAUCUCACCCGGCCCGGACACAGUGAGGAUUGACAGAUUGAGAGCUCUUUCUUGAUUCUGUGGGUGGUGGUGCAUGGCCGUUCUUAGUUGGUGGAGCGAUUUGUCUGGUUAAUUCCGAUAACGAACGAGACUCUGGCUUGCUAAAUAGUUACGCGACCAUCCCGGUCGGCGUUUAACUUCUUAGAGGGACAAGUGGCGUUUAGCCACACGAGAUUGAGCAAUAACAGGUCUGUGAUGCCCUUAGAUGUUCGGGGCCGCACGCGCGCUACACUGACCGGAUCAGCGUGUGCUCUCCUUGGCCGACAGGUCCGGGAAACCCGUUGAACCCCGGUCGUGCUAGGGAUAGGGAAUUGCAAUUAUUUCCCUUGAACGAGGAAUUCCCAGUAAGCGCGAGUCAUUAGCUCGCGUUGAUUACGUCCCUGCCCUUUGUACACACCGCCCGUCGCUACUACCGAUUGAAUGGUUUAGUGAGGUCCUCCGAUUGGACCCGGUCCGGGCGGCGACGUCCGAGCCGGCGUCCGAGAAGACGAUCUAACUUGAUCAUUUAGAGGAAGUAAAAGUCGUA